rnacentral:rRNA from 1 species
GAUGAACGCUGGCGGCGUGCCUAAUACAUGCAAGUCGAGCGAACGGACGAGAAGCUUGCUUCUCUGAUGUUAGCGGCGGACGGGUGAGUAACACGUGGAUAACCUACCUAUAAGACUGGGAUAACUUCGGGAAACCGGAGCUAAUACCGGAUAAUAUUUUGAACCGCAUGGUUCAAAAGUGAAAGACGGUCUUGCUGUCACUUAUAGAUGGAUACGCGCUGCAUUAGCUAGUUGGUAAGGUAACGGCUUACCAAGGCAACGAUGCAUAGCCGACCUGAGAGGGUGAUCGGCCACACUGGAACUGAGACACGGUCCAGACUCCUACGGGAGGCAGCAGUAGGGAAUCUUCCGCAAUGGGCGAAAGCCUGACGGAGCAACGCCGCGUGAGUGAUGAAGGUCUUCGGAUCGUAAAACUCUGUUAUUAGGGAAGAACAUAUGUGUAAGUAACUGUGCACAUCUUGACGGUACCUAAUCAGAAAGCCACGGCUAACUACG